rnacentral:lncRNA from 1 species
UUAUGAUCAAGUUAAUUGCUUAAGAUUUUGGUAAUGGAAAGUAGACUUGGAGGUGCUAGGUUAUUGUUGAUGUUAUGGAAUAGAUCAAAAUGUACAUACUUUGAGAAAUAGUUUCGGCAGAUCACUUGGAGUACUAAACUAGGUAUGAAGAAUUGUUGUUUUAAAGAGACAUUUAAUAGUUUUGGAGAAACUUUUAUAGCAGUGAUAUGCAUGACAGAUGGGGAUUCAACAACUAGUCUGUAAUAACUAGCAGUGAUAUCCACUGGGAGGACGUUCCCGCCUCAUUUUCGGCCUUUUCUGCUGAAUAUAAGGUUUCUCAUGAACCUUUUUGUAUUCCUCCAAAACUUGUGGCACCCAUUGAAAUAGAAAUUGAGAAUUAAAAGAGGAAUGAUGCCAUAGUACCUUAUUCCUUUCGGACCACACAUCCCAUAAGCUUGCAAAGUACAACUCCUACUUAUUCUUCUCCAACAUAUCCAUGAUCAACCAAAGCCACUCCUUAAAAAGACUUUCGGCAUAUUAGCUAAAACAGAGUAUUGUGGCCCCUCCUUCCAAAAAACCUUCACAACAUCACACUCUCUGAACAGAUGUGAAUCUGUUUCAGCUCCCUUUCCACACAAUAAGCAAUUAGUUUCUGGUAGUGUGACCCUUCUGCUGCCCAAGACAGUCCGUGUAUGGAUGAUAUCGCAAAGCAGCUUCCAAAUGAAAACCUUGAUCUUAGUUGGCAUUAUUAGCUUCCACACCCCAUUCCAAUAUCUCCCAUGUAAGCCCCCAACUGAGUUUGACGAAAACGAAGAAUAAACCGGAGCUCUCUUAUUUCUUUUCAAAGUCUAAUACCCGCUUUGCACACUAUAUCUACCACUCUUGUCAAAAUGCCAUACCAGCCGAUCACAACUCUCUCAAACUAAGUGGAAUCCUUGAUAUAUUUUCAACUUCGACUGGAGUGAAGAACUCUUGUAGCAAAUGAAAUUGCCAAGUUCGAUCAACUGGAUCAAUUAGUUCUUCCACUGUCAUCUUUUCCAAACCUCCAUUGGCUCAAUGAAUGGCCUAAAGCUGUAAGGCCACGAAAUCCAUUUAUCAUACCAGACCGAAAUGUUGCUUCCAUUACCCACUUGGAACCUCACACCUUAUUCAAGAACUUGCCUUCCAGCCAUAAUGCUCCUCCAGGUAUGAAGCCCCGAAUUUGAGUUCAGCCUCCAUAAACCCUGAGUUUGGGAAGUAUUUAGCUUUCAAAACCCUAGAGAGCAGGUUAUCCGAUUUCUGCAUAAUGCGCCAACCCUGCUUGGCGAGGAGUGUUAAGUAGUAGUCAUGCAUAUCCCGAAAUUCCAAUCCUCUUUCAUGUUUCGGGGCACAAAGCUUGUCCCAUGAGAGCCAAUGCAUUUUACUCUUCUCAUCCGUGUCACCCCACCAAAAUUGAGCCAUUAGCCUAUGCAUAUCCUCACACAAGUAUUUUGGAAGCUCGAAACAAUUCAUGACAUAUGCAGGAUUGGCUUGAGCUACGGCUUUGAUCAUAAUUUCCUUCCCAGUUGCACUAAGUAGCUUCUAUAUCCACCCAUGUGUUCUACUCUUCACUCUCUCUACCAAAUAACCAAAAGCCUCUUCUUUGGAGUACCUUAUUUCAACCGGUAAGUCCAAGUACUUAUCAUGCUCCUCAACUCGUUGAACCCCCGAUAAAUCUGCUAACCUCUCCUGCUCCUCUUAUGUGACAUUCUUGCUAAAUGAUAAAGCACUUUUUUGCAUAUUUAUCUGCCGCUCGGAAACCAUUUCGUAGGCCUUGAACGCUCCUUGCACCGCCACACAAUCCAUUUUCUCUGCUCUAAAGAAAACAAAAGAAAUGAGUUAUUCUUUUGGAUUAAAUUCAGUUUACCCUAUUGAGGUUUGCGGUUAAUAUCAUUUCAGUAUCUAUACUGUCAAUUUUGAAAAUUUACCAUUUAAAAUUUUCAAUUUUCAUAAAUCAUGCCCAAUUGUUAAAAUUCCGUCUAAUUUGGACGUUAAUUUUGACUUCAUAACUCAUUUUAAGGGCUAAAAUAGUCAUAUAACAUCAUAAAUCCUCUUUAAGGACCUUUUUGUAAGAUUUUAUGCUACCAUAUAAUGUCUAAAAUUGUACGAAAUUUUAGCAAUUGGAUUUGAUUUAUGAAAAUUGAAAACUUUAGGGGGUAAAUUUUAUAAAAUUAAGAGUAUGGGUACUAAAAUGAUGUUAACACCAAACCCCAUGGAGGUAAACUGAAAUUAAUCAUAUUCUUUUAGUGUAGCCCUCAAUGUUAAAGAGUUAGUGUACGAAAACAUUUACGAAGUAAUCCAUUUUUACUAUGAUUCUCAAUUAAAAAAUCAAUAAAUUCGUCUGAAUGGUAUACGAACUUUUGCUAUAAACUUUGGUAUAUCAAGUUUUAAAAAUAUCAUAUUGGUAUCUCAUGUUUCCAUCCCGAUCUCAGAUUGGUAUAUAUAGCUACUAGAUGACUAAUUUAUCAUCAGACCCAAAAAAAAGGAUGACCAAAUAUUAAGAUGAGUAAUUUACUUUCAAAUUUAUAAAGGCCAACCCAAAUCAUUAAAUUCUAAAACCUCUUUAAAUAUUUUUGGAAUAUGAAAACAAAUAAAAAAAAACUAAGAAAAAAAAGAACUUAAGGGUAAAUUGGUCAUCUUAAUGGCUAUAUAUACCAAUCUUAGGUUGAGAUGCAAAUAUGAGAUACCGUUCUAAUAUUUUCAAAACUUGAUAUACCAAAGUUACAAAGAGCCAAAGUUCAUAUACCAUUCAGAUGAAUUUCUCUAAAAAAAUCAGUUUAAAUAGAAAAUAAAAGGAAAAAAAUGCUCAGUUCCAUGAUUUCAAUUUGAAACCUAGCAGCUUUCCUUACGUCUUUGUUUUAUUCUUAAAAAAUAUAUAUAUUAAAACCCAACAACGGAGCAACCAGCGUACCAAACAAGCCUCACUGUUUUAUUCACAAUCACUGCUAUGCAUCUCACUACCCACUUUUCUUUAUACGAUUAUCUAUUUAUUUUACUAUUAUGUUUUUUGAAUUUGGAUUCUUACUAUAAUAACUUUUAUUUUUGAUAACCUUCAAUAAACUCAUUAAGGGUAAAAUUGGCGAAACAGAAUUUGGUGAAUUUCUGUGAUUGUCGGUUUUAUAUAUAGUAGAUCGAGAUAAGCAAACACGGUUGUUCAUUGUUCACGUGGACAGUGACGUGACCAAUUUACCCUUAUAUUUUUAUUUUAUUCUAGUUCUGCCACUCAUCCCUCAGCUUGACGUGACCAAUUUACCCCUGUAUUUUUUAUUUUAUUCUAGUUCUACCACUCAUCCCUCAGCUUUUCCUUUAUUUGAGUUAUGCCCCUCUAUUUUUUCCCUUUAGUUGAGUUUCUGGAGCCGUUAUCUGAUUCCACACUAUUAGAUAGUAUGCAGAAUCUAAACAUGGUUUGGACCGUAAUAUAAAUUAUCAUAUCUUGUCAUUGAUUCAAAAUUUGUGGUUGAAGCUGCAUUCAAAACUUGCAGUAUCAGGAAUCAUCACAAGAGCCUGAAGCAAGUUUACUAGUGGUCUCUCAUGAGAAUUAAUCACUCUGUUUGUAUCAUACCAUGGGAACAGAAUAUCACGGAGAUUUCUGCAGUGAACCCUAAACUCAGUUCUGAAAAUGUUAACUUCUCUCUUUUCAUUCUCCCUCGAGUCCCUUCUAAGUUCUAACACUAAGAUACCCAACUACUCAUCAUUUUCGUGUUCUUUUGCACAAACAUUACCAUACUCAUAAAUUUCAUAAAAUACCUUAGCCAUCUUAGAUGAUUACCCUUUCUAUUUCCGCAUGCUAAAAAAAAAAAAAAAGGAAGAAGAAGAAGAAGAAGAGCAGCCUCUAGCUUCACCCUACCUCCAUAUUGACAUCAUUGUUUCUGACUUCCAUUUGUAACAACUUGAGACUUCUAAGCAACUAUCACCUUCUUCUUCUUCUGUUUUUGUUACAUACGGGAGCUCAAAAGAGCUCAAGCAAAAGCCAACUAUUACCUUUUACAAAUAAUGAAUCUGACAUUUUAAAAUCAGCUGAUAGGUCGUCUUAACUGGAAUAUAAACAAGUUAUUUGCCAAGUCUAACAUUUUGUUUUUUGUUUUUUAUUUUUUUUCCCGAAAAGUAGUCUAACCAUUUGCGUAAUAUGAAAUGUACCACCUACUUGGUUAGGUCUAAUUUUAAAACGUGGCUGAAGUACCAGAUGCUAGAACGUGUAAAAUGUUGUAUAGUUGUUCAUGUAACUUUAUAUUGUAUAGUUGUUCAUGUAACUUUAUAAUCUGGCUCAAGUACCCGAUUUUGUAAGACAACGUCUACGUAUAAGUAUGAUGCAAACUGAUCAACUUGGAUGAUAUAUCCGCAACAUUGAGCCAUGAAAUGAAAAAGGAAUAGGUUCCCCUUGUUCGAAUCAAACAUUAGUGUGCCAAUAUCUCCUGCAUUCUAGCUACUUGUUCCUGUAGAUUCACUUUCAACAGUCACUAAUUCUCAUGGUUUCGUGUUCUAUGACUUCUCUGCCCAUUCCUUUUCUGCACAUUUCAGCUUCCUAUGCAAUGCUUAAUCUGUUUUUAAACGUCAAAGCAAACCUCUGAUGAUUGAUAGUGGAUGCAAGUCAUGCAACCCUAUCCUACAUCCGUAUAUUUUUCUAAACACUCUAAAAUCUUUUCAGACAUUGACUUCAUCAUGCUACAACAUUCUGGAGAAGAUUUUUUUUUUUUUUUUGGUUAUAAUAACGUUCUGGAGAAGAUAUGAGAGAGAUGGGAGACAGAUUUUUAUCCUUUUAAUGUUCAUCUGUGUUUUCAUAUACAGAAGAUAACCAGAAAUUCCCACCAUCAUAUGCAGCACUCAUCCAUUUUCAUAGAAAUAUAUCUAACAAACAUAAGGGUCCCCAACCUUUUUAAGUUUAAGUGGAAUACCAAUUUACUCAAGUUAGGUACUAACAGUAUCAAAGUCAAGCACCUUGCUUCAAAAUCAUGACACUUUUGGCCAUAAUUCAGCCAAUUCAUUUGACAUUGAUGUUCAAUUUUCACACCAGAAACUUCAUACCUCAAGAACUACUAGAGUUAGCUACUACCAUACUCGUUCACUUUUGCUGACUCCUCUUUUACUCGCCAUAUUGCUUCCACUUCAUCAGUCCGGAAUCGUUGCGUGAAAGUUGAUUCCUCCAAUGGGUUGAUGUUCCAUGAGCAAAAGCAAGAAGAUCGGUAUAAGCAAUCAUUGCCCCAUUAUCAAUACAAUACCUAUCAUCAGUUGCAAACAAUCUUCCACCCCGUUUGUGGAGUAGUGGAUUUCCUGCCGGAAUGUUCGGAUCGAGUAUCGAAGACGGCGAUGAGGAGCAUGAAGAUUGCGAUCCUUUUCUUAUAGAGAAGGAAGAUCUAGAGAAGAAGAAGAAGAAGAAGAUUGAGAUUUGGAAGCUAAUUUUCGUUGGACUUGUGGAGUAGUGAGCCUCUGCGUUUUCUACUGUGUUUCAUUGAUCGACAGUAUUGGGUAGGCUGAGUAAACGAAGAAGCUGGGAAUUGUUAGGGUGAGAGAUUUGAGAUUCUAAUAGAGCUGACACACAUGGACGAGUGCAUGGUAAAGGGAGUCGGUGACUCUUUUGGGUUUGGUUUUAUUGAUCCAUCUGUAUACUUAUUUGAUAGAAUUUUAAGUCCAAUUAUAAACAAGUAAACUAAAAAAUAAGGACAUUUUUCAUAUGUUUAUAAUUAUUUGGUAUUAAAAAAUUAAAAUAAAUGUAAAAAUAGAAAACCGAUUAAUUCCCGAUUAAUCUUUUAGGCACUGUCCGCCCGACUAGCGCCCAACGUUUUUUAGAACCUUGGUCAUGCAAGACAUACUCGACGGUGGUCCCACUAACAAAAACAAAAAGGAAACAAAAGGUAAAGGUGCGGUGCGGCGCGGUGCGGCCGGAAACGAAAGGAAAAGUAAAUGGUGCCGAGGCUAUGGUAAAGGUUGCAAAAGCUGUAGUUUGUUUGUUUGUUGAGGGAGUUGUUUUUCUUUUACCCUAAAUAGCACUAUACAUACUACCAAAAUUUUCGUUGUUCAUUGUCGAGCGGACAACCGGUAACUAGCGCCUAAGCGGGUUAAACGGGAGAUUAAUCGGUUUUCUAGAUUUUUAGGCGGAAACGGUGAAGCACUGCCUGGUGCCUUGGCGGGGAUUAAUCGGCUCUAGGUGGAGAUUUUUAUAACAUUGUUUUUGAUACAUCAAGGUAUGUUCAUUUUGACAGUUUGGUACUCCCGUUUACUUUUCAAUUCAAUGAGAGUAAUUGUUUUUACCGCAAUGUGAGAGUAAAAUUGUCAUUUAGGUAUUAUUAAAAAAUAUAAACAUAAGAAAACGUGUAUUUUGUGGAUUCAUUAUACAAUAUCGAGAUGAAUUUAUGUUUUGUUCAAAACAUACUUAAAUUUUGUAUUUAAGAAAUUUAACCGUUGUGAUCUAAAUAGUGACGAGACUACUCCAUCGAGAUAUGUAAUUGAUACACUGAAAGUAGUAUCAUGGGUGUUUAGAUCACAGAUAAAUAUUUGAGUAAUUUUAAAUACACAGCCUUAAUCUCUUAAUACACACCCCUUACUUAAUAUAUUACCAAUUUAGUUUUUCAUUUCAAUAUAUAAUAAAUACACAUCCCAAACUGCCUAAAAUACCCUCAAUAUCUAAAACUAAUAAUAAUCUGUUAUUUAAUAUAAUUAUUAUAUAUUUACUAUUUCAAACUUUCUUUACGUAUUCUCUAUUAUUUUUUGUUAGAUAUUUUUGAUCGGGUUAGAAAUUUUUGUGUGAUAUUUUUUAAUUUAUAAUCAAAAAAGUAAUAUUAUAUUUGAACUCUAAAUCUCUAAUGUAACAUCAAUCGGCUAGAAUUUGAAAAAAAAAAAAUUGAACAUACAUAAUUUUUUCAAAGUUAAGAAACUAGUAAAAAUAUAAUAACCUAAAAAUUAGUUUUGUCACAUCCCGACUCUUAAAGUUUUACCCUAAUUAGUUGCAUGAUAUUAAUAAAUUUUUUUACCGUCUUUGUUAAUGAAUUUAUAGUUUCAAAGAACCCUAGAGUUGUUUUGAGGAACGUUUAUUUCAAUGAAUUUAUUACGUAGGAGGAUUUGUUGAAAGCAGUAAAAAAGGUAAUUUUAGUUAGUAAAAAUAUAAUUUUUAUUAGAGUAUGUUUUUAGAGUGUUUUUGGAGUUUGAGUUUUUAAGUUGCAGUGGAUUGGUGAACCAGUUUGAGAAAAGCCCAAACACUUCUCUCUUCUCUCUCUCCUCCCUCCCGACUCUCUCUCUCCCUGCUGGAAAGUCUCCGCCCCUGUCCGACGCCGUCCGGCCGAACUGGGCCGCCGCACCGGUCCCGUUUGGACCGCCGUCACCUCCUUUCUCUUCCUGGGUUGGUGGCAGCGCCUCUCUCGCCGCCGAUCGAUAGAUAUCACGGCAAGAAGCUCAACCACUCUCUCGCCGGAACUCCCUCUACGGCCGCCAUAGCCGCCGAUUCUUGUCUCAUCUUCAAGCCCUCAUCUUGUGUAGCAAAACCUCAAAAGGAAUCGAUCCCAUUCGUGCUAGAUAGGUAGGUUCGACGGUUUGAAUACCUAGGGCUUGAAUUUGGGAUUUUUACUGUUUUAAGUCGAUUACCCUAUCUAGGCUAGGAAUUGGUGUUUGUGGUAGUUAUGAAAGUUGUUUAGAUUGUUGAGAGGAUGAUUGUGCUAAAAUUUGGUGGGCACUGGAGGUGAUCGGAAAAAGGCAGCCGGCCGCCGCUGCCGGCGGAGCAGACGGCGGCGACGCCUCUUUUAGGUAGUUUUUCAGGUUAAUAAGUUUAUUAUGUUGAGAGGAGUUUAAUGAUGUGUAGUUCGUAAUUUUUGGAGGAGUUUUGGAUAGGAAUGGGAUUUUUCAAAGAUUGAUGAACUUAGCGGUUAAUAGGGUAGAAUCCGGCAGUUGGAUUAAUAUUUUUUAAACUGUAAAAAUUUAUUAUAAGGCUGCCGGUGCUUGUGGUGAAGUUCGGGCCUUAUCGAAUUAAGGAUAGCGAAGUGGGGCAAGGAUGAGCAUGUAUAAGGCUCACUUUUAAUUUUGCCUAUUUUAUAAGUGUCGAAUUUUGGAGAAACUUUUAUAGCAGAUAUGCAUGAGAGAUGGGGCGUCAACAACUAGUGUAGGUACUUGGCAUUAUUUAUAUAGACCAGGUGCAAGGUUGUUAGGACUUAAAUUAGGUUCUCCUGGGAACAUGUUACCAGAUUUUGUAAUAAGCAGGCUUUAUUUUUGGUAAAUACUUGGGAUCACAAUAGUAGGAAGUUUUAGGAGUAGACUUGGGUGUAUUGAGGAUAGUUUGAGGUUUUAGAAUCUAGUGCAGUAUGAGAAGAUGAAAUGCAUUUUCGUGCAUUAUGUUCGACAGUGUAAUCAUUUGGCUGAGUUGAGAGAUUUACAAUUUUCAAGUUUUCUUUGGUAGGUAAUAUAUAGCUAUAGGUAGAGAAGUUUUUGAGAUAUUUUCGAGAAUUGAGAUUAUUUUGAGCAAGUGAUUCAUAGGAGGGAAUUGUGGAAGGAAGAAAGUCUAUACUUGGAGAGUUGAGAUCAGAUAUGGAAUGCAAGCAGUUAAUUGUAGCAUAUUUAGAUUCAAGGUUUUGGAAACUAGAGUUAUUCAAGUACAAGUCAUAAUUUUUAGAUUCAAGGUUUUAUAAAUUUCGGGGACAAAAUUUCUCUAAGGAGUAAAGUAUGUUGUUAAGCCAUAUGAUAGCUUUGUGUUUAAAAUUAAAUGUGUGCUUAUGGAUAGGAUUGUGAGUUGUAUUCGGAUAUCUUUUUCUAUGCUAAAGUACAUACUAUUGUUACAUGAAGCAUAAAGUACAUACUAUUGUUUACAUGAGUUAGGCUUUACUAGGCUUUGUUGCUUAAGAUAGUUUAUGUAAGAUUAGCAAUUGUUCUCUGGUGAUCAAGUGAUAGAUGUGCAAAUUAGGAUUAUGAUCAAGUUAUUUGCAUAAUAUUUUGGUAAUGGAAAGUAGACUCGGAGGUUCUAGGUCAUUGUUGAUGUUGUGGAAUAGAUCAAAAUGUACAUACUAUGAGAAGUAGUUUCGGCAGAUCACUUGGAGUACUAAACUUGUUAUGGAGAAUUGUUGUUUUGAAGAGAUAUUUAAUAGUUUUGGAGAAACUUUUAUAGCAGAGAUGCAUGAGAGGAGAUGGGGCUUCAACAACUAGUAUGUAAGUACUUAGGGAUUAUUUAUAAAGACCAGGUGCAAGGUUAUUAGGAGUUAAAUUAAGGUUCUCCUAGCAACAUGUUACCAUAUUUUGUGAUAAGCAGGGUUUAUUUUUGGUAAAUACUUGGGAUCACAAUAGUAAGAAGUUUGAGGAGUAGGAUUGGGCGUAUUGAGGAUAGUUUGAGAUUCUUGACUCUAGUGCAGUAUGAGAAGAUGAAAUGCAUUUUCAUGCAUUAUGUUAGACAGAAAUCAUUUGGCUGAAUUGAGAGAUUUACAAUUUUCAAGUUCUCUUUGGUAGGUAAUAGGUAUAGAAGUUUUUGAGAUAUUUUAGAGGAUUGAGAUUAUUUUGAGCAAGUGAUUCAUAGGAGAGAAUUAUGGAAGGAAGAAAGUCUAUGCUAGGAGAGUUGAGAUCAGAUAUGGAAUGCAAGCGGUUAAUUUUAGCAUAUUUGGACAGAGUAAGAGUUAUUUAAGUCAUGAAUCCCUCAUCUACGGUUAGUGGAAAUAGACAAGUGAAUGAUGUUGUCCGAAUAUCGCAAUUGAGGAUUUGGAAACUAGAGAUGUGUGGUUGGCUGAAUUCAAGUACAAGUCAUAAUUUUUAGAUUUAAGGUUUUUUAAAUUUCGGGGACAAAAUUUCUCUUAGGAGUAGAGAGAAGAAAGUAAGUGAGGAUUAGGAGUACGAAAGAAGUAAGAAAACAAAGGGGAGACUAAAGAAGAAACAGAAUUAGGAUUAGAAAUAGAAAGAGGAAGGAGAAACAUGAGACGUGAGACUUGAGAGAGUUAUCUGAAAAUGAAGAAGGAAGUAGCAGAUUAGUUCUGUCCAUUUUGUGUCAGGAUUCAAAGGUGAAUUCAAUCCUAUUAGCUAUUUUGAUUUACAUUCUUGCUGUUAUGUUUAGCGAAAUUCUUUUCUAAGGGCUUAAGCUUAUGCACAGUUAAUGAUUUCAAUGUUUGUUAAAACAGAAUUUAAGCAUAAGAACAUGUUGAGAUGCUUAGCAACAUUAUCCUGCAAAUUUAGGUGUCCUUAGUAGUUCUUAGUAACUGUUUGGAUUAGAAUUCUUAUUCUGUUUUAACAACAGGAUAUCAGGAAGCUAUGUGCAGCAUGUAUUUAGUAAUCUGAGAGUAAGUAGCAACCUCAGAUUAUAGCUUGUAGGCAUUGGAGAAAGCUAGAACAAGUGUAUACUUGGUUGUAAUCCUUUAAUUAAUUUUGAGCAGCUAUAUCUUUUUAUUUAGACCUUCAUUUCAGAUUCUAUUUGCAUGUAUUGAAAGCUUAUAAUUUACUCUAAAUAUCUGUGUAGUUUCAUGCAAUUUCGUUUAGAAUUCGUUGGUCAAGUUUGAAGUUGAAAAUAUAGUUGUACAUUCUGCAAAUCAGCUUUCAUGAGUUUUGGUGUCAGUCACUUUGUUUCAAAAGCUGUAUAUUUGGAUUGGUUAUUUGAAGUUGGUUUCUUCAUAAAAGUUGUAGCAUACAUCUUAAAUAUUGUUCCAGAAUUUGAUUCACUUUAAUAGUAUUAUUUAUACAGACCAGGUGCAAGGUUAUUAGGUGUUAUAUUAGGUUCUCCUAGGAACAUGUGACUAGAUUUUGUGAUAAGCAGGCUUUAUUUUUGGUAAAUACGUGGGAUCAGAAUAGUAGGAUGUUUGAGGGCUAGGCUUCGGCGUUUGAGGAUAGUUUUAGAAUCUGGUGCAUUAUUUGAAGAUGAAAUGCAUUUUUGUGCAUUAUGUUCGACAGUAAUUAUUUGGGUGAGUUGAGAGAUUUACAAUUUUCAUGUUUUCUUUGGUAGGUAAUAUGUGGCUAUAGGUACAGAAGUUUUUGAGAUAUUUUCGAGGGUUGAGAUUAUUUUGAGCAAGUGAUUCAUAGGAGGGAAUUGUGGAAGGAAGAAAGUCCAUACUUGGAGUGUUGAGAUCAGAUACGGAAUGCAUGGAGUUAAUUUUUGCAUAUUUGGACAAAACUAAGAGUUAUUUAUGUCAUGAAUCCCUUAUCUACGGUUAGUGGAAAUAGACAAGUGAUUGGUGUUAAUUCGAUUGAUUUGCUAUGUGAUCUUUAUAUAAAGCAUAAAUUACAUACUAUUGUUUACAUGAGUUAGGCUGUAUUAGGCUUUGUUGCUUAAGAUAGUUUCUGUAAGAUUAGCAAUUGUUCUCUGGUGAUCAAGUGAAUGAUGUGCAAAUUUGGAUUAUGGUGAAGUUAUUUGCAUAAGAUUUUGGUAAUGGAAAGUAGACUCGGAGGUUCUAUGUCAUUGUUGAUGUUGUAGAAUAGAUCAAAAUGUACAUACUUUGAGAAGUAGUUUCGGCAUAUCACUUACUAAACUAGGUAUGGAGAAUUGUUGAAGAGACAUUUAAUUGUUUUGGAGAAACUUUUUUAGCAGAGACAUGCAUGAGAGUUGGGGCUUCCACAACUACUCUGUAUGUACUCGGGGAUUAUUUACGCAGACCAGGUGGAAGGUUAUUAGUAGUUAAAUUAGGUUCUCCUAGGAACAUGUUACCGGAUAUUGUGAUAAGCAGGCUUUAUUUUUGGUAAAUACAUAGGGGUCACAGAAGUAGGAAGUUUGAGGAGUAGGCUUGGGCGUAUUGAGGAUAGUUUGGGGUUCUAGAAUCUGGUGCAGUAUGAGAAGAUGAAAUGCAAUUUCGUGCAUUAUGUUUGACAGUAAUCAUUUGGCUGAGUUGAGAGAUUUACAAUUUUGAAGUUUUCUUUGGUAGGUAAUAUAUAGCUAUAGGUACAUAUGAUUUUGAGAUAUUUUCGACGAUUGAGAUUAUUUUGAGGAAGUAAUUCAUAGGACGGAAUUGUGGAAGGAAGAAAGUCUAUACUUGGAGAGUUGAGAUCAGAUAUGGAAUGCAAGCAGUUAAUUUAGCAUAUUUGGUUAUUUAAGUCAUGAAUCCCUCAUCUACGGUUAGUGGAAAUAGACAAGUGAAUGGUGUUGUCCGAAUAUCGCCGGUGAGGAUUUUGGAAACUAGAGAUGUGUGGAUGGCUGUAUUCAAGUACAAGUCAUAAUUUUUAGAUUUAAGGUUUCAUAAAUUUCGGGAACGAAAUUUCUCUAAGGAGGAUGGAGUGUGACAACCCGGAAUUUUAAUAUAUAUACCUUUGUAAUUAUAAAGUUGCUUAUAUAUUAUAAAUAUCUUCGUUUAGUGUUAUAUAUAUACAUGCUGAAAUCUAAUAUAGUUACAUAGUUUCUUUUGCUUUUCCAAGAACAAAACUACUAUAAAUAGAAGCUGUGUACUAGUUUCUUAUACACAUGCGGUAUUGACAAAGGAUUAGAGAGAAAAAAGUAAGUGAGGAUUAGGAAAAUGAAAGAAGUAUGAAAACAAUGGAGAGAGAAGGGAGGAGACUAAAGAAGAAACAUAAUUAGGAUUAGAAAUAGAAAGAGGAAGGAGAAAAUGAGACGUGAGACUUGAGAGAGUUAUCUGAAAAUGAAGAAGGAAGUAGCAGAUUAGUUCUGUCCAUUUUGGGUCAGGAUUCAAAGGUGAAUUCAAUCCUAUUAGCUAUUUUGAUUUACAUUCUUGCUGUUAUGUUUAGCAUAAUUCUUUUCUAAGGGCUUAAGCUUAUGCACAGUUAAUGAUAUAUAAUGUCUGUUAAAACUGAAUUUAAGCAUAAGAAGAUGUUGAGAUGCUUAGCAACAUUAUCCUGCAAUUUUGGGUGUCCUUAGUAGUUCUUAGUUACUGUUUGGAUUAGAAUUCUUAUUUUGUUUUAACAACAGGAUAUCUGGAAGCUGUGUGCAGCAUGAAUUUAGUAAUCUGACAGUAAGUAGCAACCUCACAUAUUAGCUUGUAGGCAUUGGAGAAAGCUAGAACAAGUUUAUACAUGGUUAUAAUCCUUUAAUUAUCUUUGAGCAGUUAUAUCUUUUUAUUUUGACCUUCAUUUCAGAUUCUAUUUGCAUAUAUUGAAAGCUUAUAAUUUAGGCUAAAUAUCUGUCUAGUUUCGUGCAAUUUCAUUUAGAAUUCCUUUGUCAAGUUUGAAGUUGAAAAUAUAGCUGUACAUUCUGCGGAUCAGUUUUUCUGAGUUUUGGAGUCAGUCACUUUGUUUGAAAAGCUGUAUAUUUAGAUUGGUUAUCUUAAGUUGGUUUCUUCGUAAUAGCUGUAGCAGACAUUAAAUAUUGUUCCAGAACUUGAAUCACUUCAAAAGGAAUUGUUUAGAUUAAGAUAUGAUUUUUAAAAGUUGAGGGUCUGCAGUAAAAAAUUCUGCAGAUCAGUUUUCUGAGUUUUUGACUUUUUACUAAAAUCUGUGCAUUUCAGUUGAGUAUUUGAAGUUGUUGUCUUCAUAAAAGUUAUAGUACACAUGUUAUACAACAUUCCUGAAUUUGAAUCUCUUAAUAAGGAGUUUUGUAGAUUGAGUUAUGAUUUUCCGAAGUUGAGAGUCUGCAUCAGGAAACACUGCAUUUCUUAUUAUUUUACUGUUUGUUCCUUUUGAUUUCAAUGUAUUCUUUCAUUCAAACUAGUUUAGAUUCAUCACAAACUGGACACACACAUUCUCAACUUUCAAACAAAGCUUGUGAGUUUAUUUUCGAAAUUUAUUUGAGAUACUUAUGCCAUUUUGAAAUCAGCUAUGUGUAACAGUUUUUCUUCAAAAUAAAUCUACAUCACAUUUUGCUUAGUUAUCUAGCCCGUCAAAUGUUAUCUUAAUGGCCUGAGAUUUUAGGUACUAUGUUUUUGAGACUGCUUUAAAGUAAAGUAUGUUGUUAAGCCAUAUGAUAGCUUUGUGUUUAAAAUUAAAUGUGUGCUUGUGGAUUGGAUUGUGAAUUGUAUUCGAAUAUCUUUUUCUAUGCUAAAGUACAUACUAUUGUUACAUGAAGCAUAAAGUACGUACUAUUGUUUACAUGAGUUAGGCUUUACUAGGCUUUGUUGCUUAAGAUAGUUUAUGUAAGAUUAUCAAUUGUUCUCUGGUGAUCAAGUGAUGGAUGUGCAAAUUAGGAUUAUGAUCAAGUUAUUUGCAUAAUAUUUUGGUAAUGGAAAGUAGACUCGGAGGUUCUAGGUCGUUGUUGAUGUUGUGGAAUAGAUCAAAAUGUACGUACUAUGAGAAGUAGUUUCGGCAGAUCAUUUGGAGUACUAAACUUGUUACGGAGAAUUGUUGUUUUGAAGAGAUAUUUAAUAGUUUUGGAGCAACUUUUAUGGCAGAGAUGCAUGAGAGGAGAUGGGGCUUCAACAACUAGUCUGCAAGUACUUUUGGAUCAUUUAUAAAGACCAGGUGCAAGGUUAUUAGGAGUUAAAUUAAGGUUCUCCUAGCAACAUGUUACCAUAUUUUGCGAUAAACAGGCUUUAUUGUUGGUAAAUACUGGGGAUCACAAUAGUAAGAAGUUUGAGGAGUAGGAUUGGGUGUAUUGAGGAUAGUUUGAGAUUCUUGACUCUGGUGCAGUAUGAGAAGAUGAAAUGCAUUUUCGUGCAUUAUGUUCAACAGAAAUCAUUUGGCUGAGUUGAGAGAUUUACAAUUUUCAAGUUCUCUUUGGUAGGUAAUAGGUAUAGAAGUUUUUGAGAUAUUUUAGAGGAUUUAGUUUAUUUUUAGCAAGUGAUUCAUAGGAGAGAAUUAUGGAAGGAAGAAAGUCUAUGCUAGGAGAGUUGAGAUCAGAUAUGGAAUGCAAGCUGUUAAUUUUAGCAUAUUUGGACAGAGUAAGAGUUAUUUAAGUCAUGAAUCCCUCAUCUACGGUUAGUGGAAAUAGACAAGUGAAUGAUGUUGUCCGAAUAUCGCAAUUGAGGAUUUGGAAACUAGAGAUGUGUGGCUGGCUGAAGUCAUGUACAAGUCAUAAUUUUUAGAUUUAAGGUUUUAUACAUUUCGGGGACAGAAUUUCUUUAUGGAGUAGAGAGAAGAAAGUAAGUGAGGAUUAGGAGUACGAAAGAAGUAAGAAAACAAAGGGGAGACUAAAGAAGAAACAGAAUUAGGAUUAGAAAUAGAAAGAGGAAGGGGAAACAUGAGACGUGAGACUUGAGAGAGUUAUCUGAAAAUGAAGAAGGAAGUAGCAGAUUAGUUCUGUCCAUUUUGUGUCAGGAUUCAAAGGUGAAUUCAAUCCUAUUAGCUAUUUUGAUUUACAUUCUUGCUGUUAUGUUUAGCCAAAUUCUUUUCUAAGAGCUUAAGCUUAUGCACAGUUAAUGAUUUCAAUGUUUGUUAAAACAGAAUUUAAGCAUAAGAACAUGUUGAGUGUCAACAGUUGAGAUGCUUAGCAACAUUAUCCUGCAAAUUUGGGUGUCCUUAGUUGUUCUUAGUUACUGUUUGGAUUAGAAUUCUUAUUUUGUUUUUAGAACAGGAUAUCAGGAAGUUAUGUGCAGCAUGAAUUUAGUAAUCUGAGAGUAUGUAGCAACCUCAGAUAUUAGCUUGUAGGCAUUGGAGAAAGCUAGAACAAGUGUAUACUUGGUUAUAAUUAAUUAACUUUGAGCAGUUAUAUCUCUUUAUUUAGACCUUCGUUUCAGAUUCUAUUUGCAUAUAGCUUAUAAUUUAGGCUAAAUAUCUGUCUAGUUUCUUGCAAUUUCAUUUUGAAUUCCUUGGUCAAGUUUGAAGUUGAAAAUAUAGCUGUACAUUCUGCAGAUCAGUUUUCCUGAGUUUUGGAGUCAGUCACUUUGUUUGAAAAGCUGUAUAUUUAGAUUGGUUAUUUGAAGUUGGUUUCUUCAUAAAAGUUGUAGCAUACAUCUUAAAUAUUGUUCCAGAAUUUGAAUCACUUCACUAGGAUUAUUUUUACAGACCAGGUGCAAGGUUAUUAGGUGUUAAAGUAGGUUCUCCUAGGAACAUGUUACUAGAUUUUGUUAUAAGCAGGCUUUAUUUUUGGUAAAUACUUGGGAACAGAAUAGUAGGAAGUUUGAGGAGUAGGCUUCGGCGUUUGAGGAUAGUUUUAGAAUCUAGUGCAUUAUGGGAAGAUGAAAUGCAUUUUUGUGCAUUAUGUUCGACAGUAAUCAUUUGGCUGAGUUGGGAGAUUUACAAUUUUCAAGUUUUCUUUUGUAGGUAAUAUAUAGCUAUAGGUACAUAAGUUUUUGAGAUAUUUUCGAGGGUUGAGAUUAUUUUGAGCAACUGAUUCAUAGGAGGGAAUUGUGGAAGGAAGAAAGUCUAUACUUGGAGAGUUGAGAUCAUUUAUGGAAUUGAGAUCAGAUAUGGAAUGCAAGCAGUUAAUUUGAGCGUAUUUGGACAGAAGUAAGAGCAAGUCAUGAAUCCCUUAUCUAUGGUUAGUGGAAAUAAUGGUGUUAAUUCGAUUGAUUUGCUAUGUGAUCUUUAUCGAAAGCAUAAAUUACAUACUAUUGUUUACAGGAGUUAGGCUUUACUAGCCUUUGUUGCUUAAGAUAGUUUUUGUGAGAUCAGCAAUUGUUCGCUGGUGAUCAAGUGAUAGAUGUGCAAAUUAGGAUUAUGAUCAAGUUAAUUGCUUAAGAUUUUUGUAAUGGAAAGUAGACUCGGAGUUUCUAGGCCAUUGUUGAUGUUGUGGAAUAGAAUAAAAAUGUACAUAGUUUGAGAUGUAGUUUCGGCAGAUCACUUGGAGUACUAAACUUGGUAUAGAGAAUUGUUGUUUUGAAGAGACAUUUAAUAGUUUUGGAGAAACUUUUAUAGCAGAGAUGCAUGAGAGAUGGGGGUUUCCACAACUAGUCUGUAAGUACUUAGGGAUGGGAUUAUUGAUACAGACCAGGUGCAAGGUUAUUAGGAGUUAAAUUAGAUUCUCCUAGGAACAUGUUACCAGAUUCUGGGUUCAGGUUUUGAGCGGAUUGGAGGUUAGUAUCGAGUUUUAUUGCUACUGUGUUGUUGCUCUGUUUUGUUUGGGGAUGGUUACUGGCUGAUUUCGUUGUCUUUGGUAUUGCAUUCGGGAACUUAGUGUUUUAGAGAAUACGGGGAGGUUAUGGCCAUAUUCCGGCAAGUUACCGGAAUCCGGCGAGCAAUUCCGACAGGUCUCCGGAAUCCGACGAGGAACUACAGUGAAUGCAGUUUUCCGGCGGUUGCCAUUGAAGUAGUUUUCGAGGCUAUUCUUUCUAACUGAAGUCGUAGUUCCUAAAUAGAAAAAGUUCGGGUUAUAAUUGGAAAACUUACUAAGGAAAGUUUCUAUUUUAGGAAACUUUUCCUUUUCUGGAAACUCUUUUGGGUGCCCUUAGUAAUUUAGUGGUUUUCCGGAUUAAUGUGGUUCAUAUGUUUUUGAGUUAACGAAAUUACAUUAGUUUAAUUAAUAAAAAUCGAAGUUCACCAAAACGAAUUAUUAAGCGACGCAUGUGUCUAACAGCUAGUAGGAUAUAUAGUGAAAAAUGUCUCAAAUCAUUAAGUAAGGUUAAAUUAGAAAACGGUGAACAUCGUUAGUUGGUCAAUCCUGGUCAACCCAGGAAACCUUGAUUAAACCGAGAAGGGUCAAGUCAACUAUUUCUCGAGUCUGUCUUGAUUUAUCGUUUCUACAGUUUAGAAUUCAGAUAUUUGGAGGUAGCGCUCAAGGAGUGUUCUAAGCAUUGGGAAGCUUAAGCCUAAUAGACUAAUACUGUGAGUGGACUUUUGUUUGAAAUAAAUUGCAUGCGACGAUCUCUUUAUAAAUAUCUCUUCUAUAAAUAUCGUUCUCAAGAAAGUAAGAAAGUUUGAUUUUAGUUUUGUUUAUCAUUUCUAUGAUUUUGGAGUUGACAUGGGAUUAUCUUCAUUGAUUUUCAAAUACGAUGUUUAUUGGGACUUAUGUUAUAAGUUGAGUCUUAAUGGUUUAUGUUUGAAUAAAAUUCCAGAUUUAAUUUUUAUCGUUUUUAUUUGUCGAAAUUGAGAUUUAUAAAAGAUUACUGAGAAUGCGAUUUUCGGUAGUUCUCCAUCAUAAUUUUCUCAUUUAUUUGUGGGAUAUCAUCUUGACAUUGAGAAUAUUUUAGCGAGUAUUUUGGGUUGAGAUAUUAUUUACGAUUUAUACUUGAUAGUUAAAUCUCGCUUAGAAUUAUAAAUUUGAGAAUAUUUUGACGUGUAAGACACAUCAUUGAGUUUUAUUUUAUUUUCUUAUGAUAAUUUCCAAGUACGGUUGGGAACCGUACUCGUGACUGCAUUUGCACGAUCUUGGGGAAGCUUUAUGGAUUUAUGUGUUUUCGUAUGUUUUUAGUCACAAUACUAGAGUCGUUCUUAUUCAUUGCUAGCUAGCAUUUAUAUGCGGUCCUCACCAUAGGUGAGUAGAGCGUUUAGCGUGGGACACUACUAGAGUCUGGGAGGCUCCAGUUUCAUGAUGAUAUAUCUUCCCCUUGUUUUAUUUAUCAUUUAUAUACUUGAUUAACCAGCUGGGCUGGUUUGUUUCUUCUUACGAGAUUUCUGGACGUUUAACCGAAUGUUUGAAAAUGUUGCAAGCUUUGCCGUCUUUAUGGUUUAAAAUGUGGGAAAGUAUUAAGUUACAUUUUUGUUAAAUUUUUGUCCACUAACGUUUUUCAAUUACUUUCCCGUGGCCCUUUGGUUUCAAAUGCCCAGUUUGUAGACAAGCUUUCUUGAGGUCGGGCGUACACUGAGUUAAGGCAUAGUCCGACGUAGUUUCCGGCUUAAUCUCUAACCUCUAUUUUUCCUUGUUAGAAUUGCUCUGAUGAUCUUUGGGAUUGUUAAUUAAUUAAAGCUUGUUGUGUGUUGGGUAAUGUUAUGGAACUGGGAGCAUGGUGGCCUCGGGAGUUUGGAGAUAGUUUGAUUUGAUUAUAUAAGUGUUUGUGUUGGUUGACAGCUAGGGUUGUCUAUUUUCAAGAGAGGUUGUACUAAAUUUUUGGUAAAAUUUCCCUUUAGGUGAUCCCCGCAGGGUUUACUCCGGAAUUUAGAGUGAAAUCCGGGGUGGGUCAUAACAACUGUAGUAGUAGCAAAUAGUUAGCAUGCAAAUAGGAGCAUUAGAGUUUAAACCUGAGAAUUGGUCUAAAUUUUUGGAGCUUAAGUCUUAUGUUCUAUGUUGAUUGAACUAUUGAUCGUUACAACUCUUAUGAUUUUUUUUUGUCAAUACAUGUAUUUAUUUGACAUGCAUAUUAAUUACAUAGAUUUAUUUGUGUAUACAAUAUAUUAAUUCGAUUGAUUUGCUAUGUGAUCUUUAUAUAAAGCACAAAUUACAUACUAUUGUUUACAUGAGUUAGGUUGAACUAGGCUUUGUUGCUUAAGAUAGUUUCUAUAAGAUUAGCAAUUGUUCUCUGGUGAUCAAGUGAUAGAUGUGCAGAUUAGGGUUAUGAUCAAGUUAAUUGCAUAAGAUUAUGGUAAUGGAAAGUAGAAUCGGAGGUUCUAGGUCAUUGUUGAUGUUGUGGAAUAGAUCAAAAUGUACAUGUUUUGAGAAAUAGUUUCGGCAGAUCACUUGGAGUAUUAAACUAGGUAUGGAGAGUUGUUGUUUUGAAGUGACAUUUAAUAGUUUGGAGAAACUUUUAUAGCAGAGAUAUGCAUAGAGAUGGACCUUCCACAACUAAUUUGUAAGUACUUGGGGAUUAUUUAUACAGACCAG